UACGAAGGGGGCUAGCGUUGUUCGGAAUUACUGGGCGUAAAGCGUAUGCAGGCGGCCUUCUAAGUCGAACGUGAAAUCCCCGGGCUCAACCCGGGAACUGCGUCCGAUACUGGAAGGCUUGAAUCCGGGAGAGGGAUGCGGAAUUCCAGGUGUAGCGGUGAAAUGCGUAGAUAUCAGGAGGAACGCCUGUGGUGUAGACGGCUCUCUGGACCAUUAUUGACACUGAGGUACGAAAGCGUGGGUAGCAAACAGG
rnacentral:rRNA from 1 species